AACGAGGCCGACCUGCGGCUGAGUUACCUGCGGAAGGAUCAUUACAAGUGACCCCCGGCUCCGGCCGGGGAUGUUCAUAACCCUUUGUUGUCCGACUCUGUUGCCUCCGGGGCGACCCUGCCUUUUCACGGGCGGGGGCCCCGGGUGGACAAAUCAAAACUCUUGCGUAACUUUGCAGUCUGAGUAAAUUUAAUUAAUAAAUUAAAACUUUCAACAAUGGAUCUCAGAUCGGAAGAGCAC
rnacentral:misc_RNA from 1 species